rnacentral:rRNA from 1 species
AUACACGAAAGUGUGACGGGGUUACCCAAAGUGUUCUUAUUGAACUGUGGUAGGUGAGUAAUGUCCCCUACUAGAAAGGAGAGGGCAAGGCUGGUGCCAGCCGCCGCGGUAAAACCAGCUCUUCAAGUGGUCGGGAUAAUUAUUGGGCUUAAAGUGUCCGUAGCCGGUUUAGUUAGUUCCUGGUAAAAUCGGGUAGCUUAACUAUCUGUAUGCUAGGAAUACUGCUAUACUAGAGGGCGGGAGAGGUCUGAGGUACUACAGGGGUAGGGGUGAAAUCUUAUAAUCCUUGUAGGACCACCAGUGGCGAAGGCGUCAGACUGGAACGCGCCUGACGGUGAGGGACGAAAGCCAGGGGAGCGAACCGGAUUAGAUACCCGGGUAGUCCUGGCCGUAAACGGAUGCAUACUAGGUGAUGGCACGGCUAUGAGCCGUGUCAGUGCCGUAGGGAAACCGUUAAGUGUGCCGCCUGGGAAGUACGGUCGCAAGG